rnacentral:lncRNA from 1 species
CCACAAAGACAUGAUGCUGAAACAGGAGCAAGCCCAGCUUGCAGCAUCAUCCCUUGGAAAUAUUAUGAAUGGGUCUACAAGCAACACUGAAAAAGAACCUGUUGUUACUGCCACCAGCGUGGAUAUCCCAGCCAUUUCUGUGGAACCUAAAACUGCCAGCGUGGAUAUCCCAGCCAUUUCCGUGGAACCUGAAACUAUCUCUAAGCCUUUUUUUAUUUGGCUCAGGUUCAGAGGAGAGUGAUGAUCCAAAGCCGAAGGAUGGUCCGAAACGUUGCAGCAACUGCAAUAAGCGAGUUGGUUUGACAGGGUUUAAUUGUCGAUGUGGCAACCUUUUCUGUG